rnacentral:rRNA from 1 species
UACGAAGGGGGCUAGCGUUGCUCGGAAUCACUGGGCGUAAAGGGUGCGUAGGCGGGUCUUUAAGUCAGAGGUGAAAUCCUGGAGCUCAACUCCAGAACUGCCUUUGAUACUGAGGAUCUUGAGUACGGGAGAGGUGAGUGGAACUGCGAGUGUAGAGGUGAAAUUCGUAGAUAUUCGCAAGAACACCAGUGGCGAAGGCGGCUCACUGGCCCGUUGCUGACGCUGAGGCACGAAAGCGUGGGGAGCAAACAGG